AUUGAACGCUGGCGGCAUGCUUUACACAUGCAAGUCGAACGGCAGCACGGGCUUCGGCCUGGUGGCGAGUGGCGAACGGGUGAGUAAUGCAUCGGAACGUACCGUGUAGUGGGGGAUAACGUAGCGAAAGUUACGCUAAUACCGCAUACGCCCCGAGGGGGAAAGUGGGGGACCGCAAGGCCUCACGCUAUAUGAGCGGCCGAGGUCGGAUUAGCUAGUUGGUAGGGUAAAGGCCUACCAAGGCGACGAUCCGUAGCGGGUCUGAGAGGAUGAUCCGCCACACUGGGACUGAGACACGGCCCAGACUCCUACGGGAGGCAGCAGUGGGAAAUUUUGGACAAUGGGCGCAAGCCUGAUCCAGCCAUGCCGCGUGAGUGAAGAAGGCCUUCGGGUUGUAAAGCUCUUUCAGACGGAAGGAAAUCUCCCAGGAUAAUACCUUGGGAGGAUGACGGUACCGUAAGAAGAAGCACCGGCUAACUACGUGCCAGCCGCCGCCGUAAGAC
rnacentral:rRNA from 1 species